rnacentral:lncRNA from 1 species
UCACUGUCUGUUGUACAUUCUUUGUGGUCUCCUUCUCCUCAGGUUUUACAGUUUCUGGUAUAGGUUCUGCCUCUUUCUUUGUUUGAUCCACUAGAUAUCAAAAGUAGAUUUUUUGGGAGGGAGAUAUGGGUGGGGGGAAUGAGAUAAAUGGUUAAUAUGAAUGGCUCACAUUUUCAAAUUCAUUUUUAACUGCUUAUCUCAAGUUCUAGAUCUAGCUGUUUCCCCAGGCAGAUGUAUACAAGAACCCAGUUACAAACCUAACAACCUGAAAACUCAAGGAAAUUAAUGAUACUAGACAAAACUACAUAGCAUUUAAGUAAGACAGUAUGUAAAAACAAGAUAUAUAAUUAUUCUAACCCAGUACCAUGAUGGUUCAAUACCUGUUUUCAAUAAUGUAACAGAAAACAUCAUUGUGUAAAAAUACAGAUUUGAUGAAGAAACCUCGAAUCACAGUGGCUUCCUCACACCUCCUCAAUACCUACUUUUUCCCUCCCAAUUCAUCUUUUCACUACCACAAUCACUACCACAAUGGCACCACCUGCUGACAGUUCAGCAGCUCUCAAAGAUUAAGAGUAAAAAACUACAAUGGGAGACUCUAGAACAAGACUGUUCAACCCACCGCCCACGGGCAGCAUGAGGCCCAGGAUGGCUUUGAAUGUGGCCCAACACAAAUCUGUAAACUUCCUUAAAACAUUAUGAGACUUUUUUUUUUUUUUCAGCUCAUCAGCCAUCAUUAGUGUUAUUUUAUGUGUGACCCAAGACAAUUCUUCUUCCAAUGAGACCCAGCCCCAGCUCUAGAAGGACAAAAUGACCACAGCUCAUUUCACAUGCUAUACUUGUGAUUGAUUUACAAGCUGUUUGACCUUAUUUCAAGCGUAAUAAGAAUAUUACAUGAACCAUACCUGGAACAGGCUUUUCUCCAGGCUUUAGCUAUAAUUUUUUAGAAAAAAGGGAGGGAGAGGAAGAGGAAAAAGAAGAAAACAGGUCAACUUGGCAAAAUUUCUUCUUCCUGAUGUCAUAUUAAUAAAAUGAAAGCUUCAUCCAAAUUACAUUUCAAAUGACUUUGUGAAGAAAAGCUACUAUGUAUGUACUAUAAAGUAAAUUUAUCAUUUUCUACUUCUUAUUCCCCAUUCCAGAAAAGACACAAAUCAAAAACUAGAACAAGAUAGUCAACCAACCAUAAAAACACUUGAACAUUUAACAAAGACUUCCACCUCCACACCCAGGCUACAAUGCUUUAUAAAAAGCAGUUCAGUAGAAUCCAAUGGGAAGAAAUAAUAAGUCUUUCAAUACCCCAGAGUCUUAUUUCCUUAGGGGUUAUGACUUAUGGGAAGGGAGAAUGAAGUAUGGAUGAACCAUGACUUUUAAAGUUGGUAGGCAUGGGAAAUUUGGAGGGAAAAGAGAUUUCUGAUGAGUCUAUUAUUAAAAACCAAUCUAUAGGAAAAAAAGAUAAGAGCAUUAGAGGUUAGAAACAAGGUCAGGUCCUUCACUCUGCAAGCAAUUCUUUCACUUGAUUAAGCUCUGUCAUCUCCUUUGCCCCAUUCCCCAAGUUAAAUGCUCUACGACAUUCUUGUCUUCUUCUACCCCUCAUCCGAUGACACUGUCUCCCAUGUUUAAAAACAACAACAACAAAACCAGGAUGCCAACACCACCAACUUCCUUACCAUCUACCUUCAAACUUAUUAUAACUUUAUAUACAUAUACACAUAUAUAUUUAAAAUACCUUAUUACUUCCAUAUCAUCUUAGAAGAAAAAACAGUCUCUUCACUUCUAAUGCCUCCAUCUGUGUGCUGAAUCUUUCUGGAUUUACAUGCCCUCCCUAGGCCUUCUUACCUAUUCCCACUUCUAACUACAAAAUUUUCUGAUAUUACAUGUUCCAGGUUCAUGCUGACAACUGCCAACUAUCCUACUCCAACUGCAAGUCCUGGGAAUCUUUACACUUAACAAGACCAAAACUGAGCUUCACAUUAUUAUCCACUGUGCAAUAAAAAGGUUACCACAGAAGGCCUGAGGCUGCUAUACUUAGAAAGGCCUGCUUGCAAGGUUGGCCCUUGGUUAGUGUCUAGAAACUUGGAUUUUUGGAGGGUUCCCACCAUUCCCUGGUAAUAGUGGCUCACUGUGCCUAGACUGUACAAACAAUGCAAUUUAGGCUGAAUACCUGCUUUCUUCAGAGGUUGUGAAAUUUUGGUAUGUGCUAGAUAGAGGAUACCUACAUGAAGAGCUCCCCCAACUCCAAAAACACACCUUGGGUACCAGGUCUCUAAUGGAUCUCCCUGGGCAGAAAUAUCACACAUAUGUUGCUGCAUUUUCACUGUUGAGAGAAGAGUGCACUCUGUGUAACCUCUUAAGGGAAGGAGAAAGUAUAAGAAAGCCUGCACAUAGAUUCUUCCAGACUCUGCUGUGUCCUUUUCCCUUAUGAUCUGGCUAUAUACAUCCUUGCUAUAUUAUAGCAAUAAAUCUUAGCUGAGUACAACUACAUGCUGAGUCCUCUGAGUCCUGCUAGCAAUCCCCAAAUACGGGAGUCAUCAUGAGAACCCCCAACAAAGCCACAUAUCACAUUAUCUUGUGAAAAUAUCAAUACUUAACAUGUCCAAAGUAAUUUUGAGGGAAUAAAUUGUUUUUCUUUAAAAUAGGAGAGGAAACAUAGGGAGGAACAUUGAGGAGAGUAAAAAAUUUGAAAAGGGGGAUUUUUCUACUGUCAGCACUGAACUACAUUUAAACUAUAUUGGACACUGAACUAUAUUUGGACAUUGGAAUAAUGUCAUUAUUUACCCAACAUAAUACACUGUCUAAUCUUUUCUAGUAAGUCCUGCUAGACUAGUAGAACACGGUCUGAGAUGGGGAUAUAUAACAAGAGUGCUUCUUGGAGCAAAUUUAAUCAGGUGGCUUUGGUUUAGAUAAUCCUAGUUGAAGUAAUAUCCUAUGGUAUUCUAGCAGCUUCUAAAACCAGCAAUAAAAAGACAGUCCUCAUAAAAGGCUCCAAGGACUGAAACUCUCAUCACAUCAGUAUUAGUGCAACUUCCAGCAGUAACAAGAAUUAAAAUAUGGAAAAAGGAGCUUCAAAGAAGCAGACAGGACUUCUCCAAUAUUCUCCUGAACAUCCCCUUACAGGGGCAACAUCCCUGGGUACCACAAGCCCAACUGCUCGAUAAAAUUGAUUAGUAGGAAUACCUGCUGUAUCCUUAUCCGAACUACAGGUAGUUCUGGAGGAUGCAAUGGGUAAAGAGGAGUUCAUAUGAGCUAAAAGAAGUUCUGGGAGACUUGCAGUAGAUUAUUUUCUUCUCUAGAUCUGAGGCUGGAAAAAUUUUUGUUAGGAAAAGCAAAAAGAUUAUUAAUAGUUCUAGAGAAAGCCAUCUUUCUCCUAGUUAUGUUACACAGAGCUGGAUAUACUCUAUCUUUGGGAGUUGGUUUUUGGCCCUUGGAUGGUAAAAGAAAUGGCUCAGGAAUAUGAUGAUAUAAGUAUGAAUGUGGCUAAACCUUUAAAAGAAAAAGGUAAAAAACUCACUGAAAUGAUAUGAAAUCUGCAGUCUGCUUAAAAAUAAUUGGGAGGGGCCGGGCGCGGUGGCUCAUGCCUAUAAUCCCAGCACUUUGGGAGGCCGAGAUGGGCAGAUCACGAGGUCAGGAGAUUGAAACUAUCCUGGCUAACGCGGUGAAACCCCAUCUCUACUAAAAAAUACAAAAAAUUAGCCGGGCGUGGUGGCAGGUGCCUGUAGUCCCAGCUACUCAGGAGGCUGAGGCACGAGAAUGGCGUGAACCUGGGAGGUGGAGCUUGCAGUGAGCUGAGAUCGUGCCACUGCACUCCAGCCUGGGCGACAGAGUGAGACUCCGUCUCAAAAAUAAUAAUAAUAAUAAUAAUAAUAAUAAUAAUAAUAAUAAUAAUAAUAAUAAUUGGGAGGAAGUAGGGGAAGAAGAGAUAAAACAAGCUUGGCCAUUUUGAUAACUGUUGAGGCAGGCUAAAGGGUAGAGGGGGUUUCAUUUUUAAUUAUUCUCUCUGCUUUCAUGUUUUUAAAAUUACCAUACUUUUCUAUAAAGUAAAGAGUUUUUAUUUUAAGAAUCAAGAGAGUCUUUGAGCUUUCUAUAACGUCUAGCCUAGCUCACCAGGACAGGACAGCAAACAAGAAUCAAGGCAGCAUCCCUAGCCAGGGGCGGGGAAAAAAAAGUUGUCUUUCACUGGAGUACCUCAGGACUCAAAUACAACAGCAAACUACCGAAUGUUCUUUAGGUCGGUCAAUGAAAACCAAACCCCUAACAACUGUUAUUUCAACCAAAAUCUGUUUCUUUCCCUGUAUUCUGAAUUUUAGUUAAUAAUACCUAGUCUAAUUCUAGGCCUAAAACCACAGAAUCACCCUUUGUCCAAUCUCUCCAAAUCCAACCACCAAAUUAAAGCAAUCCUAACUCGAAAUACCUCCUGAAUCUGUCUCCUCUCUAUCCUAUGGCCACAGAAUUCAAGUUUUCCACAAUUUAAGUGCCCUGACUCCAAACUUCACAUGUGAUUUCCUAAGCAUCCCCCCCAUACUGUUACUAGUUGCAUUCCUAAAACACAAAACUGACUACACCACUCCCUUGCAACUACUUUUAAAUACCCAAUGGGUCCUUAUCACCAUCAGCAAUAAUUCUCAACUAGUCACUUGAAGAUGAGAUAGAGGAGUUUUUAGUGAGAAUACACUCCUAGAGUAUAUACUUGAAAAACAUUAUACAAAAUUUCUCCUGGUUUGGUCUGCCUUUGGUUAUGAUAGCUAUUGGUUUAAAACUUAAAAUAACUCUGAAUGCAUCUGGAGGCCUGUUAUGUUUAUGGGAGUGGUAAUGGGUUGUAAGUUUAAAAUAGAGAAGAAACAUAGGCCUCCAGGAUUAAAUCCCAGCUCCUUUGCAUAGCAUACAAAAUCCUUCUCAACUGACCUUAAUCCAUUUUUUAAGUCUCAUCUUCCAUUACUCUUCCCCUCCACAAACACAGAGUAAACCUUCAGAGGAUUCUUCUGGUUUCUGAACAUAUGUUCACUAACUCAUGUUUCUGGUUUUGCAUGUUCUAUUACCGUUUUCUAGAUCACGACUGUUCAAAAGAAAUGUGAGCCACAAAUGCAAGCUAUACAUGUAAUUUUAAAUUUUCUUGUCACAUUUUUAAAAAGAAACAUGUAUUUUAUUUAACCAAAUAUACCUAAAAUAUUAUUUCAACAUAUAAUCAAUAUUUUUAAACUACUGAGAUAUUUUACAUACAUUCUUUUUCAUACAAGUCUGAAAUCCAGUAUGUAUACUGCACUUACAUCACAACUCAAUCUGGGCUAGCUGUGUUUCAAAUGCUAAUAGUCACAUGUGCCUCGUGGUUACCAUACUGGACAGCACAUGUCUAGGUGUCUUCCCCUGGCCUACCUAGCAUACACUAUGUACUCACCAAAUGAAUGGUCAACUACACCUAACCUCUUACAUUCUGUAGAGGUCACUCAUCACCCUACUACAGCUAUAAUUCAUUUAUUUAUUUAUUCAACAGACUAUGUUCCAUCUUCAAGUGCAGUUGAUGAGAUUCCUCUAAACUGGCUUUCCUGUCCUGAGUUCCAUCUUGUGUCCUCUGCUCUCUUCACCACUACAUCACAAUUCCAAUAGCACCUAUCUCUCACUACAGCAGAGUCAGGGAAGAGAAAAGGGGAGGCUUGUUCUAAAGUCAUCUCAUGUGAAAAAUGUCAUUUAGUUUAAAAUUUCCCUUGAAAAUCCCUUAAAGAGCUCCUAACAAAAACAGGGUAUAUGAUCUUGUAUGUACAUUGUAAAGGUCCAGAAGAAUUGAGACUAGCCAUGAGAACAGCAUAUUCAUCUAUUCCAUUCCAUAUCUACUAGACUCCAAAAGCUCAUUUAGUAGAAUGGCAGGUGGAUUUGCUAUUGCUGUUAGAAAUCUCCCUGCCCCUCCAAAUCACACAGUGGAAUUCAUAUAACUUAAAACCCCAACACAGGGUAUCUCUAUUCAUCACUCCUGUCUCCUCUGUUUAUUAUGCCAAACACUCUACCUCAGAUGUUCUGUUCUUUUUGUUACACAAGUGUUAACUAUUCUAUCAUUUAGGUUGUUCAGAUAUCUACUACAUCAGGCUGGAAGGUGGCAUGUAGAGUAAAAAGAGCAUGAGUUUCAUAUUCUAGUUUUGUUACCACCUGUGACACUUUCAGCAACCUUUUGAAUGAGAAUAUUAUCUACAUGCAGUCCUCAUAGUUUGUGAAGUUUCAGUAAGAAACACAAAACAGUGUUAAUUCCAUUCCAUUUACCCAUUUCUUCCAUUAAGUCUUUCGAAACCUUUCCUUUGAUACAGAGAUCAUUUUUUAACUAAUGAGGAAAAUUGUACUUUUAGGUCACAUCUGAAACAGUUCUCAAUUAAAAAUUAAUAUAUAUGCCAUAAAGAAGUGUCAAAUCAAGAUUAACCACACAUAUUCUCAUUACCUGCACAAAUUUGGGUGGAAAUUUUUGUCUGAGGUCUAAAAGUAAAGCAUCCACACGUUGUCUCUGAAAAAUAGAGCUUG